rnacentral:tRNA from 1 species
GUACCAGUAGCUCAGUGGAUAGAGCACUGGCCUCCGGAGCCAGGUGCGGGGGUUCAAUUCCCUUCUGGUACA